rnacentral:rRNA from 1 species
AACGAACGCUGGCGGCAUGCCUAACACAUGCAAGUCGAACGAGACCUUCGGGUCUAGUGGCGCACGGGUGCGUAACACGUGGGAAUUUGCCUCGGGGUAUGGAAUAACUCAGGGAAACUUGAGCUAAUACCAUAUAAUGUCUUCGGACCAAAGAUUUAUCGCCCUGAGAUAAGCCCGCGUAGGAUUAGCUAGUUGGUGGGGUAAAGGCUCACCAAGGCGACGAUCCUUAGCUGGUCUGAGAGGAUGAUCAGCCACACUGGGACUGAGACACGGCCCAGACUCCUACGGGAGGCAGCAGUGGGGAAUAUUGGACAAUGGGCGAAAGCCUGAUCCAGCAAUGCCGCGUGAGUGAUGAAGGCCUUAGGGUUGUAAAGCUCUUUACCAGGGAUGAUAAUGACAGUACCUGGAGAAUAAGCUCCGGCUAACUCCGUGCCAGCAGCCGCGGUAAAGUGACUACUG